rnacentral:rRNA from 1 species
UACAGGGGGUGCAAACGUUGCUCGGAAUCAUUGGGCGUAAAGCGCACGUAGGCGGUCUGUUAUGUCGGAUGUGAAAGCCCUUGGCUCAACUGAGGAAGUGCAUCCGAAACUGGCAGGCUAGAGUACGAAAGAGGAUCGCGGAAUUCCCGGUGUAGAGGUGAAAUUCGUAGAUAUCGGGAGGAACACCGGUGGCGAAGGCGGUUCUCUGGGACGGUACUGACGCUGAGACGCGAAAGCGUGGGGAGCGAACAGG